rnacentral:rRNA from 1 species
UAGGGAAUAUUGCGCAAUGGAGGAAACUCUGACGCAGCGACGCCGCGUGAGUGAUGAAGGCCUUCGGGUCGUAAAGCUCUGUCGUACGGGACUAAGAAAGUGAAGGUACCGUGCAAGAAAGGAUCGGCUAACUUCGUGCCAGCAGCCGCGGUAAGACGAGGGAUCCUAGCGUUGUUCGGAAUCAUUGGGCGUAAAGCGGGAGUAGGUGGCUUGCUAAGUCAGGUGUGAAAGCCCAGGGCUCAACCCUGGAAGUGCAUCUGAAACUGGUGAGCUUGAGUGCGAGAGAGGUAAGUAGAAUUCCAGGUGUAGUGGUGAAAUACGUAGAUAUCUGGAGGAAUACCGGCGGCGAAGGCGGCUUACUGGCUCGACACUGACACUCAACCCCGAAAGCGUGGGGAUC